UGGGGAAUAUUGCAGCAAUGGGCGAAAGCCUGAUGCAGCAACGCCGCGUGAGUGAUGAAGGCCUUCGGGUUGUAAAGCUCUGCCUUUUGGGACGAUAAUGACGGUACCAAAGGAGGAAGCCACGGCUAACUACGUGCCAGCAGCCGCGGUAAUACGUAGGUGGCAAGCGUUGUCCGGAUUUACUGGGCGUAAAGGAUGCGUAGGCGGAUUUUUAAGUGAGAUGUGAAAUACCCGGGCUUAACUUGGGUGCUGCAUUUCAAACUGGGAAUCUAGAGUGCGGGAGAGGAGAAUGGAAUUCCUAGUGUAGCGGUGAAAAUGCGUAGAGAUUAGGAAGAACACCAGUGGCGAAAGGCGAUUCUCUGGACCGUAAACUGACGCUGAGGCAUGAAAAGCGUGGGGUAGCAAAAACAGGGAUUAGAUACCCUGGUAGUCCACGCCGUAAACGAAUGAGUACU
rnacentral:rRNA from 1 species